UCCUACGGGGGGCAGCAGUGGGGAAUAUUGCACAAUGGGCGAAAGCCUGAUGCAGCAACGCCGCGUGAAGGAAGACGGUUUUCGGAUUGUAAACUUCUGUUCUUAGUGAAGAGUAAUGACGGUAACUAAGGAGCAAGCCACGGCUAACUACGUGCCAGCAGCCGCGGUAAUACGUAGGGAGCAAGCGUUAUCCGGAUUUAUUGGGUGUAAAGGGUGCGUAGACGGGAAAUUAAGUUAGUUGUGAAAUCCCUCGGCUCAACUGAGGAACUGCAACUAAAACUGAUUUUCUUGAGUGCAGGAGAGGU
rnacentral:rRNA from 1 species